UCCGGAAGCUUCUCACGCUGGGCCUGCGUCUCGCGCUGGGCCGCUCGGAAGGCGAGGCAAGGCGAGGCCCUUGGUGCACUAGCGGGGGUGGCUGAGCCCAGUCGUCCGGUCGCCUGCUCGCCUCGGGAGCUCACCCCGUUCACCGCAGAAGUGACAUGAGUAAGAAGUUCAUAACGUGAAACUUUUUGAAGUGAGCGAUUCAGUGACAGCGAGUGAGCGCAUUUACAGCGCUGUGCGACCGCCACCUCUAAGUAGUUCCAAAACAUUUUCAUUGCCCCAACAGGAACCCCCUAAAGGGGUUCACAUCCAUUAAAGGGUGAGUUGUUCCUCAUUAUCCCCCUUCCUGGCAACCCUGGCCACCCCCAACCUGCACUUCGUCUGUUUGAAGUCCCACAUCUGGCUACUUCCUGCAGGUGGAGGCUGUGUGACCCGCCAGCCCGGCUUCUGCGCUUACACAGCGCGUUUGCGGUUCCUCCGCGGCGUGACCUGUGUCCGGGCUCCUCGUGGCGGAGUAAUGUUCCCUGGUGUGGAUGUACCGCGUUUUGUUUCUCCAUCUGUUGACCGGCGUUUGGGCUAUUUUCGCUUUCGGUUAUUGUAAACAGUGCUGCUAUGAACACUCACACUCAUCUAUUUAUUUGAAUAACAAUUCUCACUUCUUUUCUUUUAUCAUAGGACUGGAAUUGCUGGGUCAGAUGGCAAUCCUGUGUCUCACUUCCUGAGAAACCAUCAAACCAUUUCCCCACUGGUUGCACCAUUUCACAUGACCCCAGCACUGUAUACGGGUUUCAGUUUCUCCGUGUCCUGGCUAGCGCCUGCGAUUUUUUCUGUAUCUUUUUAAAAAAAUAUUAUUUUAAAAAUUAUGAAGUUGUA